AAUCUCCAAAAUACAAUAGAUACUGAGAAAAUAUUUAAUUUAAAAGACAAUAUUACAUUAUCUUCUUCUGGAAAACGUAAAACAGUUAAAGAAUUAAUAGAAGAUAAUCAAAAUUCUUUAAAAAGGUUUUCCAAUUUUGAAAUACUUUUUCGUAAACAACUACAACUACAGGAAAUUGAUAUAUCUGGAUUUUCUAAAACAAUAUCUUCAAACAUAUCAAAAGAUGUAUUGGAAACAAAACAUCAUUCAAAUAUUUUGACAGAAAAUAAAUCACAAUUGGAAAAUAGUACAUCUAAUAAUAAUAGAGAAAAGAAAAAAUUAUCAAAAACACUAUAUAUAUGA